GACGGCUGUGAGACGGACCCCGACGACACCUCCGCCUUCGACUACUCCUCCGUCACUUCCUGCAGCCCGGACGGCACCCUGCGCAGGGAGACGCUGGACACCAACAGCGGGGAAGACGAGGACGGGGACGACGAGGAAGACAGCCAGGUGCCGGUGCUGCUGAAUCCGUCGUACAGCCGCCAGCAGCAGGAGCAGCAGCCCACGGGGGAGGCCAGAGGGAGGACUGUGUGUGUGAGGUGGCAGAUUCCCAGAUUCACCCCUCAUCCUCCUCUUAGGAGCCCUGCGGGGCCGUACGCCGAGGGACCGACGCCGUGUCUCAUCAGCUCCUUUGGAAAGAGGCUGGUGAGCCUGAGGAAAGGGUCGCCUCCUCCACAUCUGAAAAGUGCCUUCAGGCCCAUCUGGGACGACCCAUCGAAGCAGGCCGAUUCCGCUCCAGAAAGGGACAACAGACCUGGAUUCAUCCCAGUUCCAGCUCCAGUGAGGCACAACGUCCACGCCGUCAAUCCCAGCAGGGAAAACCUGAGACCCGUGCUGGCUCAGCAGCGAGGGAACCACGCGCCAGCGGUGGGCGGGGGAGGACUGUGGGACAGCGAGGACAGCGAGGGACCCUGCAGCACAGUUUGACUUUCUGCAGUCCUCCCUGGACGCACGAUGACCGCAGCACAAGUGGGAUGAAUCGCCCCAAAGAGCCACUUUAACUUCUGGACUCAUGUUCAAGCAGAAAAAAAGGUCCAAAUGCAACAUUUGGUUCAUUUUUGUUUCUUGUUCUUUAGGGAAACUAAAGCUAUGAAAAGUGUAGCUGUAGAUCAACGUUUUUCUCUCGAUGGAGGUGUAUAACAUCUCUUAACGUAAGAGAGAAUGCCAACAUAAAAAUAAUAACUUAAAAAAAAACCUUUAUCCACAGAGGGGCAAGACGGGGCUGGAACUGAAGGGAAUAUAGGCUCCAGCUUUACUGAGGUAAAUACAUGACAGCAACUUGCAGAACAGUUGAUUUAAAUUAAAUGACCUUUCCUGUCUUGGUAUAAUUAAUAUUAGGCAAACCUGAUAGAUUUUUAGCUUAUCUGAUAGUAUCAAAAGAAUAUGCCAGCGUGGAGGAUGAAAUCACGAUUUUUUUGUCCACCUGAGAAUAAAAUAAAGGUUAUAAAAAUGUGUAAAAAAAGUCUUAAUAUAGCAAUUUUGUUUCUUAUCGCAGUAACAUAAUUUUACAAUAUUCACGAUACCAAACUACUAAAGAUCUAGACCUUUUGAAGACAAGCAGGCCCACAGCAUCAUAGGUCCUCUACCUGAAGGGUUUGAUAUGGAAAAGCUCAACCGAUAUGAUUAACGUUCCAGUAGUCUAGCAAAAAGCACGUUUACAUUUAUGAUAGUAUAAUUUAAAUCCCAAACAACAGAUUGGCAUCUAGAUAAGAGUCUGAAGCUGUUCCUGGUACCUUUCGGUUUUUCUUUUUUUGGGGGGGAUUUUCUUUGACCUCGUCCAGCCUAGUAGCUAAGAGAAAUGGGCCUCUGGAUGUCAUCAUGUUUGCACAAUAGGGCAACCAAGCCAUGGAUUACCAAUUACAAGUCCCAAGGAACUCUUUAUAAAUGUAAAAAUGUGACGAUUAGUGGUACCAACCUAGAUUUUGCUAAAACUAUUA